AAGACCUGCUCCACCUGCUGAUCUACUGGUUGUAACAGCUUGUGGGAAAGCAUCACUGGACCAAUCAGGCGAGAGAAGACAGAGAGGACUGAGGACUGAAACGAAAAUACUCUGCCUGCCAAAAAAGGUUUGAGGCAGACCGACCGCUGGGGAGAUGGACCUCACCUGACA